rnacentral:rRNA from 1 species
GUGCCCAAGCAUUGAGGCAGUCAAAGCAGGCAAAUCCGCUUUGAUAAUGCUGGGAUGUGAUGGGGAGCGAAAUUUAGUAGCGAAGUAGCUGAUUUCACACUGUCAAGAAAAGUCUCUAUCGAGGUUAAAGGUACCCGUACCGCAAACCGACACAGGUGGGUGAGGAGAGUAUCCUAAGGCCAGCGAGAGAACUGUUGUUAAGGAACUCGGCAAAAUGACCCCGUAACUUAGGGAUAAGGGGUGCCACCAUCCGGUGGCCGCAGAGAAUAGGCCCAAGCGACUGUUUACCAAAAACAUAGGUUUCUGCUAAGUCGCAAGACGAUGUAUAGGAGCUGACGCCUGCCCGGUGCUGGAAGGUUAAGGGGAUCUGUUAGAGCAAUCGAAGCAGUGAACUUAAGCCCCAGUAAACGGCGGCCGUAACUAUAACGGUCCUAAGGUAGCGAAAUUCCUUGUCGGGUAAGUUCCGACCCGCACGAAAGGCGUAACGAUUUGGGCACUGUCUCAACAACAGACUCGGUGAAAUUGUAAUUCCGGUGAAGAUGCCGGAUACCUGCGACAGGACGGAAAGACCCCAUGGAGCUUUACUGUAGCUUGACAUUGGGUCUUGGUACUACAUGUACAGGAUAGGUGGGAGGCUUUGAAACCAGGACGCCAGUUUUGGCGGAGCCAUCCUUGGGAUACCACCCUUGUAGUACUGGGACUCUAACCAUAGGCCAUGAAUCUGGUCUUGGGACACUGUCAGGUGGGCAGUUUGACUGGGGCGGUCGCCUCCCAAAAGGUAACGGAGGCGCUCAAAGGUUCUCUCAGUACGGUCGGAAAUCGUACGUAGAGUGUAAAGGCAAAAGAGAGCUUGAUUGCAAGACAUACAGGUCGAGCAAGGAUGAAAAUCGGACUUAGUGAUCCGGUGGUUCUGCGUGGAAGGGCCAUCGCUCAACGGAUAAAAGCUACCCUGGGGAUAACAGGCUUAUCUCCCCCAAGAGUCCACAUCGACGGGGAGGUUUGGCACCUCGAUGUCGGCUCAUCACAUCCUGGGGCUGUAGUAGGUCCCAAGGGUUGGGCUGUUCGCCCAUUAAAGUGGUACGCGAGCUGGGUUCAGAACGUCGUGAGACAGUUCGGUCCCUAUCCGUCGCAGGCGUAGGAAAUUUGAGAAGACCUGUCCUUAGUACGAGAGGACCGGGAUGGACG